rnacentral:rRNA from 1 species
GCUUGUCUCAAAGAUUAAGCCAUGCAUGUCUAAGUAUAAGCAAGCUAUACUGUGAAACUGCGAAUGGCUCAUUAAAUCAGUUAUCGUUUAUUUGAUAGUACCUUACUACUUGGAUAACCGUGGUAAUUCUAGAGCUAAUACAUGCUAAAAGCCCCGACUCCGGGAGGGGCGUAUUUAUUAGAUAAAAAACCAAUGCCCUCCGGGGCUCCUUGGUGAUUCAUGAUAACUUAACGAAUCGCAUGGCCUUGUGCCGGCGAUGGUUCAUUCAAAUUUCUGCCCUAUCAACUUUCGAUGGUAGGAUAGUGGCCUACCAUGGUUUCAACGGGUAACGGGGAAUUAGGGUUCUAUUCCGGAGAGGGAGCCUGAGAAACGGCUGCCACAUCCAAGGAAGGCAGCAGG